GAACGGUAGCACAGAGAGCUUGCUCUCGGGUGACGAGUGGCGGACGGGUGAGUAAUGUCUGGGAAACUGCCCGAUGGAGGGGGAUAACUACUGGAAACGGUAGCUAAUACCGCAUAACGUCUUCGGACCAAAGUGGGGGACCUUCGGGCCUCACACCAUCGGAUGUGCCCAGAUGGGAUUAGCUAGUAGGUGGGGUAAUGGCUCACCUAGGCGACGAUCCCUAGCUGGUCUGAGAGGAUGACCAGCCACACUGGAACUGAGACACGGUCCAGACUCCUACGGGAGGCAGCAGUGGGGAAUAUUGCACAAUGGGCGCAAGCCUGAUGCAGCCAUGCCGCGUGUAUGAAGAAGGCCUUCGGGUUGUAAAGUACUUUCAGCGGGGAGGAAGGCGAUGUGGUUAAUAACCGCAUCGAUUGACGUUACCCGCAGAAGAAGCACCGGCUAACUCCGUG
rnacentral:rRNA from 1 species